rnacentral:rRNA from 1 species
GACGAACGCUGGCGGCAUGCUCAACACAUGCAAGUCGAACGCAUGCUAGGUGCUUGCACCUAGUGAUGAGCGGCAGACGGGUGAGUAACACGUGGGAACUUACCCUUUAGACUGGGACAACCAUUGGAAACGGUGGCUAAUACCGGAUAAGCCCUGAGGGGGAAAGCCGAAAAGCGCUAAAGGAGAGGCCCGCGGCAGAUUAGGUAGUUGGUGGGGUAAAGGCCUACCAAGCCGAUGAUCUGUAGCUGGUUUGAGAGGAUGAUCAGCCACACUGGGACUGAGACACGGCCCAGACUCCUACGGGAGGCAGCAGUGGGGAAUAUUGGACAAUGGGGGAAACCCUGAUCCAGCAAUGCCGCGUGAGUGACGAAGGCCUUAGGGUUGUAAAGCUCUUUUACCUAUGAAGAUAAUGACGGUAGUAGGGGAAUAAGCACCGGCUAACUCCGUGCCAGCCGCCGCAGUAA